rnacentral:rRNA from 1 species
AGUGAACGCUGGCGGUAGGCCUAACACAUGCAAGUCGAACGGCAGCACAGUAAGAACUUGCUCUUACGGGUGGCGAGUGGCGGACGGGUGAGGAAUACAUCGGAAUCUACUUUUUCGUGGGGGAUAACGUAGGGAAACUUACGCUAAUACCGCAUACGACCUACGGGUGAAAGCAGGGGAUCUUCGGACCUUGCGCGAUUGAAUGAGCCGAUGUCGGAUUAGCUAGUUGGCGGGGUAAAGGCCCACCAAGGCGACGAUCCGUAGCUGGUCUGAGAGGAUGAUCAGCCACACUGGAACUGAGACACGGUCCAGACUCCUACGGGAGGCAGCAGUGGGGAAUAUUGGACAAAGGGCGCAAGCCUGAUCCAGCCAUACCGCGUGGGUGAAGAAGGCCUUCGGGUUGUAAAGCCCUUUUGUUGGGAAAGAAAAGCAGCAGGUUAAUACCCCGCUGUUCUGACGGUACCCAAAGAAUAAGCACCGGCUAACUUCGUG